GGGUUGUGAGGUUAAGCGACUAAGCGUACACGGUGGAUGCCCUGGCAGUCAGAGGCGAUGAAGGACGUGCUAAUCUGCGAUAAGCGUCGGUAAGGUGAUAUGAACCGUUAUAACCGGCGAUUUCCGAAUGGGGAAACCCAGUGUGUUUCGACACACUAUCAUUAACUGAAUCCAUAGGUUAAUGAGGCGAACCGGGGGAACUGAAACAUCUAAGUACCCCGAGGAAAAGAAAUCAACCGAGAUUCCCCCAGUAGCGGCGAGCGAACGGGGAGCAGCCCAGAGCCUGAAUCAGUGUGUGUGUUAGUGGAAGCGUCUGGAAAGGCGCGCGAUACAGGGUGACAGCCCCGUACACAAAAAUGCACAUGCUGUGAGCUCGAUGAGUAGGGCGGGACACGUGGUAUCCUGUCUGAAUAUGGGGGGACCAUCCUCCAAGGCUAAAUACUCCUGACUGACCGAUAGUGAACCAGUACCGUGAGGGAAAGGCGAAAAGAACCCCGGCGAGGGGAGUGAAAAAGAACCUGAAACCGUGUACGUACAAGCAGUGGGAGCACGCUUCGGCGUGUGACUGCGUACCUUUUGUAUAAUGGGUCAGCGACUUAUAUUCUGUAGCAAGGUUAACCGAAUAGGGGAGCCGAAGGGAAACCGAGUCUUAACUGGGCGUUAAGUUGCAGGGUAUAGACCCGAAACCCGGUGAUCUAGCCAUGGGCAGGUUGAAGGUUGGGUAACACUAACUGGAGGACCGAACCGACUAAUGUUGAAAAAUUAGCGGAUGACUUGUGGCUGGGGGUGAAAGGCCAAUCAAACCGGGAGAUAGCUGGUUCUCCCCGAAAGCUAUUUAGGUAGCGCCUCGUGAAUUCAUCUCCGGGGGUAGAGCACUGUUUCGGCAAGGGGGUCAUCCCGACUUACCAACCCGAUGCAAACUGCGAAUACCGGAGAAUGUUAUCACGGGAGACACACGGCGGGUGCUAACGUCCGUCGUGAAGAGGGAAACAACCCAGACCGCCAGCUAAGGUCCCAAAGUCAUGGUUAAGUGGGAAACGAUGUGGGAAGGCCCAGACAGCCAGGAUGUUGGCUUAGAAGCAGCCAUCAUUUAAAGAAAGCGUAAUAGCUCACUGGUCGAGUCGGCCUGCGCGGAAGAUGUAACGGGGCUAAACCAUGCACCGAAGCUGCGGCAGCGACGCUUAUGCGUUGUUGGGUAGGGGAGCGUUCUGUAAGCCUGUGAAGGUGUACUGUGAGGUAUGCUGGAGGUAUCAGAAGUGCGAAUGCUGACAUAAGUAACGAUAAAGCGGGUGAAAAGCCCGCUCGCCGGAAGACCAAGGGUUCCUGUCCAACGUUAAUCGGGGCAGGGUGAGUCGACCCCUAAGGCGAGGCCGAAAGGCGUAGUCGAUGGGAAACAGGUUAAUAUUCCUGUACUUGGUGUUACUGCGAAGGGGGGACGGAGAAGGCUAUGUUGGCCGGGCGACGGUUGUCCCGGUUUAAGCGUGUAGGCUGGUUUUCCAGGCAAAUCCGGAAAAUCAAGGCUGAGGCGUGAUGACGAGGCACUACGGUGCUGAAGCAACAAAUGCCCUGCUUCCAGGAAAAGCCUCUAAGCAUCAGGUAACAUCAAAUCGUACCCCAAACCGACACAGGUGGUCAGGUAGAGAAUACCAAGGCGCUUGAGAGAACUCGGGUGAAGGAACUAGGCAAAAUGGUGCCGUAACUUCGGGAGAAGGCACGCUGAUAUGUAGGUGAAGUCCCUCGCGGAUGGAGCUGAAAUCAGUCGAAGAUACCAGCUGGCUGCAACUGUUUAUUAAAAACACAGCACUGUGCAAACACGAAAGUGGACGUAUACGGUGUGACGCCUGCCCGGUGCCGGAAGGUUAAUUGAUGGGGUUAGCGGUAACGCGAAGCUCUUGAUCGAAGCCCCGGUAAACGGCGGCCGUAACUAUAACGGUCCUAAGGUAGCGAAAUUCCUUGUCGGGUAAGUUCCGACCUGCACGAAUGGCGUAAUGAUGGCCAGGCUGUCUCCACCCGAGACUCAGUGAAAUUGAACUCGCUGUGAAGAUGCAGUGUACCCGCGGCAAGACGGAAAGACCCCGUGAACCUUUACUAUAGCUUGACACUGAACAUUGAGCCUUGAUGUGUAGGAUAGGUGGGAGGCUUAGAAGUGUGGACGCCAGUCUGCAUGGAGCCGACCUUGAAAUACCACCCUUUAAUGUUUGAUGUUCUAACGUUGACCCGUAAUCCGGGUUGCGGACAGUGUCUGGUGGGUAGUUUGACUGGGGCGGUCUCCUCCUAAAGAGUAACGGAGGAGCACGAAGGUUGGCUAAUCCUGGUCGGACAUCAGGAGGUUAGUGCAAUGGCAUAAGCCAGCUUGACUGCGAGCGUGACGGCGCGAGCAGGUGCGAAAGCAGGUCAUAGUGAUCCGGUGGUUCUGAAUGGAAGGGCCAUCGCUCAACGGAUAAAAGGUACUCCGGGGAUAACAGGCUGAUACCGCCCAAGAGUUCAUAUCGACGGCGGUGUUUGGCACCUCGAUGUCGGCUCAUCACAUCCUGGGGCUGAAGUAGGUCCCAAGGGUAUGGCUGUUCGCCAUUUAAAGUGGUACGCGAGCUGGGUUUAGAACGUCGUGAGACAGUUCGGUCCCUAUCUGCCGUGGGCGCUGGAGAACUGAGGGGGGCUGCUCCUAGUACGAGAGGACCGGAGUGGACGCAUCACUGGUGUUCGGGUUGUCAUGCCAAUGGCACUGCCCGGUAGCUAAAUGCGGAAGAGAUAAGUGCUGAAAGCAUCUAAGCACGAAACUUGCCCCGAGAUGAGUUCUCCCUGACUCCUUGAGAGUCCUGAAGGAACGUUGAAGACGACGACGUUGAUAGGCCGGGUGUGUAAGCGCAGCGAUGCGUUGAGCUAACCGGUACUAAUGAACCGUGAGGCUUAACCUUACAACGCCGAAGCUGUU
rnacentral:rRNA from 1 species